UACGAGGGGGGCAAAUGUUGUUCGGAAUCACUGGGCGUAAAGGGAGCGUAGGCGGGUUUCUAAGUCAGGUGUUUAAUCCCGGGGCCCAACCCCGGGACAGGCACUUGAAACUGGGAAUCUUGAAUAGUGGAGAGGUCAGUGGAAUUGGGGGUGUAGCGGUGGAAUGCGUAGAUAUUGGGAGGAACACCAGUGGCGAAGGCGGCUCACUGGACCGGUUCUGACGCUGAGGCGCGAAAGCGUGGGGAGCAAACGGG
rnacentral:rRNA from 1 species